rnacentral:rRNA from 1 species
GAUGAACGCUGGCGGCGUGCCUAAUACAUGCAAGUCGAGCGAACGGACGAGAAGCUUGCUUCUCUGAUGUUAGCGGCGGACGGGUGAGUAACACGUGGAUAACCUACCUAUAAGACUGGGAUAACUUCGGGAAACCGGAGCUAAUACCGGAUAAUAUUUUGAACCGCAUGGUUCAAAAGUGAAAGACGGUCCUGCUGUCACUUAUAGAUGGAUCCGCGCUGCAUUAGCUAGUUGGUAAGGUAACGGCUUACCAAGGCAACGAUGCAUAGCCGACCUGAGAGGGUGAUCGGCCACCCUGGAACUGAGACACGGUCCAGACUCCUACGGGAGGCAGCAGUAGGGAAUCUUCCGCAAUGGGCGAAAGCCUGACGGAGCAACGCCGCGUGAGUGAUGAAGGUCUUCGGAUCGUAAAACUCUGUUAUUAGGGAAGAACAUAUGUGUAAGUAACUGUGCACAUCUUGACGGUACCUAAUCAGAAAGCCACGGCUAACUACGUG